CCCUUAGAUGUCCUGGGCCGCACGCGCGCUACACUGAACAGUUCAACAAGUCUUAACCUUGGCCGAUAGGUCUGGGUAAUCUUUGAACGCUGUUCGUGAUUGGGAUAGACCUUUGCAAUUAUGGGUCUUCAACGAGGAAUUCCUAGUAAACGCAAGUCAUCAGCUUGCAUUGAUUACGUCCCUGCCCUUUGUACACACCGCCCGUCGCACCUACCGAUUGAAUGGUCCGGUGAAAUCUCGGGACGGCGGCUUGGUCGCUUGCGUCCGACUGCUGAAACUUGAUUAAACCAUAUCAUUUAGAGGAAGGUGAAGUCGUANCA
rnacentral:rRNA from 1 species